GCUGGAAUUACAGGCAUGCACCACCCCACUGGGACCCGCCAUACAAUUUUCAACAGGGAAGACUCUGGAGUUGGCUUUGUGCCCCUGACUCAAGAAGGAUGGCCCGAUUUUAGAGGAGUGAUGGGUGCUGGACAGCAUCCAAAGGGACAAUCCGACUCUGCAUGAGACUCGAGGAUGGCCAGCAGCUGAUACAGGCUUCAUUCCAGUUCAGCACACCUUUCCUUUUGAGACACUAGACAAGUUCCAGCUAAUCGGAACAAAUGACUUGCAGGCCACAUGGAGAAAAGGGUACUUUGGCAACUUCCUA